rnacentral:rRNA from 1 species
UACGGAGGGUGCGAGCGUUGUCCGGAAUCACUGGGCGUAAAGGGCGCGUAGGCGGCAUGCCAAGCGUGUGGUGAAAGCCCGGGGCUCAACCCCGGGUCGGCCGUGCGGACUGGCGUGCUCGAGCACUGUAGGGGCGGGUGGAAUUCCGGGUGUAGCGGUGGAAUGCGUAGAGAUCCGGAAGAACACCGGUGGCGAAGGCGGCCCGCUGGGCAGGAAGGCUCGCAAGAGCCGGCUGACGCUGAGGCGCGACAGCGUGAGGAGCAAACAGG